rnacentral:rRNA from 1 species
ACGGAAGGCAGCAGUGAGGAAUAUUGGUCAAUGGGCGGAAGCCUGAACCAGCCAAGUCGCGUGAAGGAUGAAGGUAUUAUGUAUUGUAAACUUCUUUAGCAGCAGAGUAAUAAGGGGGUCGUGACCCCCGAUGCAAGUAUGCUGAAAAUAAGGAUCGGCUAACUCCGUGCCAGCAGCCGCGGUAAUACGGAGGAUCCGAGCGUUAUCCGGAUUUAUUGGGUUUAAAGGGUGCGCAGGCGGUUUUUUAAGUCAGUGGUUAAAUCAUGAGGCUCAACCUCAUCACGCCAUUGAUACUGGAAGACUUGAUUGCGGUUGAGGUUGGCGGAAUUCGUCGUGUAGCGGUGAAAUGCAUAGAUAUGACGAAGAACACCGAUUGCGUAGGCAGCUGACCAAGCCGUAAAUGACGCUCAUGCACGAAAGUGCGGGGAUCGAACAGGAUUAGAUACCCUGGUA